rnacentral:tRNA from 1 species
GGGGGUAUAGCUCAGUUGGCUAGAGCGCUUGCAUGGCAUGCAAGAGGUCAGGGGUUCGACCCCCCUUACCUCCAC